rnacentral:rRNA from 1 species
AUUGAACGCUGGCGGCAGGCCUAACACAUGCAAGUCGAGCGGAUGAGGGGAGCUUGCUCCUGGAUUCAGCGGCGGACGGGUGAGUAAUGCCUAGGAAUCUGCCUGGUAGUGGGGGAUAACGUCCGGAAACGGGCGCUAAUACCGCAUACGUCCUGAGGGAGAAAGUGGGGGAUCUUCGGACCUCACGCUAUCAGAUGAGCCUAGGUCGGAUUAGCUAGUUGGUGGGGUAAAGGCCUACCAAGGCGACGAUCCGUAACUGGUCUGAGAGGAUGAUCAGUCACACUGGAACUGAGACACGGUCCAGACUCCUACGGGAGGCAGCAGUAGGGAAUAUUGGACAAUGGGCGAAAGCCUGAUCCAGCCAUGCCGCGUGUGUGAAGAAGGUCUUCGGAUUGUAAAGCACUUUAAGUUGGGAGGAAGAACAGUAAGUUAAUACCUUGCUGUUUUGACGUUACCAACAGAAUAAGCACCGGCUAACUUCGUG